AGCAGUCAGUUCUAACAUGAUAUAAUUUUAUUAUUUUUACAAAUGUCAAAGUCUCCAGAACUGUUUGUGGGUAAAAACUUACUGCCACCUGGUGGAUCUGAGUUAAGACAAAGGGAAAUAGAUAUCUUUUUUAAGCUCUCCUAAAUACUAUUAUUAUUUCCUUUGUUCUUUUAACUUUAAAAAGAAAACAAAUAUGUAUUUACUUUUUAAAAGACUACAUUUGGGGGAAUUUCUGCAUUUGGUUUCAAUUGGAGGGGAAAAUAAUGUAUAUGAAUGUUAUUUUGAUAAAUAUGGUUAUAUGCAUUAGAUGUUAUAUGCAUUAUAGGCAUUAGAGUUACAUUGUAACUUUAGAAGAUGGCUCUUCCUUUCAUUUCCACGGCUGUUUUUAUCCUGAAUAGUAACUUAUCCAUCCAUUUCUGGAAGGUUCAGGAAUUGGAUAAAUAAAACUAGAUAAUUACCUGAAGUGUGUGUAAUGCUGUAAUAAAGACCACUGUGUGUGACCUCUCUGAACUUUCCUCCAUCUAGUCCCAAGAUGUAUCUCAGAAGAAUUUUCCUAAUCCUUCCCAGAAUUAGAUCAAUUGAUUUCACCUGGUGAAAUAAAUUCUCAUUACCUUACUCAAAUGUGUAUUUAACUUUCCUUCCACUUCAUGAUUCUCUGUAGCCUCUAAGAUCCCUAAACCCCCACCAAUAGCAAGAAAGAGCCUUUUCUUGACUCAAUGUUCAACUGCCUCAAUUCUCACCAAUUUAUUUUUGUAAUCUAGGCAUUUAAACCUAGUCUAGAUUCUCUUACAAAUAUCAGUGAACAUCCAUAAUGAGAAUUAUGGAUCAUGAAUACAAACAAAGUAGAAAAAAAUCUGUUACUGAACUAUUAUAUGCUGGAUUUACCAACCUUUCCUCUAAAAGUGAUGUUCAUUAUUAUGCCAAGACGAAACAUCCU
rnacentral:lncRNA from 1 species